rnacentral:miRNA from 1 species
UAUUAGGUUGGUGCAAAGGUAAUUGCAGUUUUUACCAUUGAAAGUGAUGCAAAACCACAUUUACUUUUGCACCAAUGUAAUA